UACGUAGGGUGCGAGCGUUAAUCGGAAUUACUGGGCGUAAAGCGUGCGCAGGCGGCUUUGCAAGACAGAUGUGAAAUCCCCGGGCUCAACCUGGGAACUGCAUUUGUGACUGCAAGGCUAGAGUACGGCAGAGGGGGAUGGAAUUCCGCGUGUAGCAGUGAAAUGCGUAGAUAUGCGGAGGAACACCGAUGGCGAAGGCAAUCCCCUGGG
rnacentral:rRNA from 1 species